rnacentral:lncRNA from 1 species
CGCCCGCAGGUGCCUGUGCCUGUGUAUCCCGACAAUAAACCAAAUCCUCUUGCUGAUUGCAUCCUGUGGUGUCUCGGUCUGGUCUUUGGAGUUAGAGGGUCUCCAUCCCCGAGGGAAAGUUCUCCCCUGAGAGCUUUUCAUUUGGGUGCGUUGGCCGGGAAAGGAGAUCCUCCACCCAGGGACCACCGACCACCCACUGGGAGCCUACUUGGGAUGACUGCCAACAGCUCUUACAGGCCCUCUUAACCUCAGAAAAAAAAAAACAAAGAGUGUUCCUAGAGGCCAGAAAACAUGUUCUGGGAGAUGAUGGGCGUCCCACCCAGCUGCCUGAGGACCAAACUGGGAUUUUAAUACAGCUGAAGCCCUUCUCUGAGGGCCCAUUUACAGGCCCUACAGAUUGUACAGAGACGUCUGGAGACCUUUGGCCGCUGCUUACCAGGACAAGCUUAAACAUCCGGUGGUGCCACACCCGUUCCAGAUUAGAGACACCGUGUGGGUGCACAGACACCAGACCAAAAAUCUCCAGCCACGGUGGAAAGGACCCUACACCGUCCUCCUGACUACCCCGACCGCCCUAAAGAUAGACAGAGUCUCGGCUUAGAUCCACACACCACACGUCAAGACAGUCCGGUCUGAAGAAUUGACUAAUCACAACACUACACCCCAGACUUAGAGAGUUCAACACACUCCAAACCCCUUAAAGUUAAAACUCCUACGUGGAUCCUCCUAGCCCUUUUGUGGCCUAGAGUCAGUGGGGGAAUAAGCCCC